GUCUUUUUCGAAAACAUAUGAUGAAAUUAGAAUGAUACAGAGAAGAGUAGUAUGUCACUGUGUAAGAAUGACACGUGCAAAUCGAGAAAUGAUAUAAAUUUUU
rfam:Ricinus communis cultivar Hale ctg_1100012288321, whole genome shotgun sequence.